CUACAGGUACUACUCGGAUGGAGACAAAAAUGAGCACACCUGACUAGAUGUGAAAGGAUGGCCAUGAGGAUAAUCAUGUGCAGGUGACGUGUGCAUCUAAACAAGAACUGGAUGGUGAUGUAACCAUGCUACGGCACUGGCUUCCAGUCUAAUGGUGUUGGGCAGCAGGGGCUUUGUGCUGGUUCCUGAUCUUUGAAGGUCCAGUGAUGGGACAUGUGGACGAAGGCCAAUAAUGGGCGAUGACCUUGCUGAUGUCAGUUCUCUGGCAGCUACUCAUUACAGGAGUUGGACAGAAUUUCUUGGACUACUGUAGUUUUCCCUAUUCCUUGCUGCAUUUCAAGUCUACAAAUAUGACUCAAUUAUAGUAACAGUUAAUCUGCACAAGUAUAUAUUUUAAACAAAUGGCUUAUAAUUAUAACCUCUAUAAACUGACUUGUGACUGAAACAAUAAAGCAGCUACAUGUGGUAUAAAUAUACUGGGCAAUUCAUGAUGUCCACUUUAUCAGACACAUGGUUAAUGUAAAUUUCUACAUGUUGGAAAUAAAACAUUUCAUAUGCUAAAUGGAUAGUAUU